GAAAUGCGAUAAGUAAUGUGAAUUGCAGAAUUCAGUGAAUCGUCGAAUCUUUGAACGCACCUUGCGCUCCUUGGUAUUCCUUGGAGCAUGCCUGUUUGAGUAUCAUGAAAUCUUUAAAGUAAAUCUUUUGUUAACUCAAUUGGUUUCUACUUUGGUAUUGGAGGUCUUUGCAGCUUCACACCUGCUCCUCUUUGUUCAUUAGCUGGAUCUCAGUGUUAUGCUUGGUUCCACUCGGCGUGAUAAGUUAUCUAUCGCUGAGGACACUGUAAAAGGUGGCCAAGGUAAAUGCAGAUGAACCGCUUCUAAUAGUCCAUUGACUUGGACAAUACUUUUAUGAUCUGAUCUCAAAUCUGGUAGGACUACCCGCUGAACUUAAGC
rnacentral:misc_RNA from 1 species